AUUGAACGCUGGCGGCAGGCCUAACACAUGCAAGUCGAACGCGUGGCGGACGGGUGAGUAAUGUCUGGGAAACUGCCCGAUGGAGGGGGAUAACUACUGGAAACGGUAGCUAAUACCGCAUACCAUCGGAUGUGCCCAGAUGGGGUUAGCUAGUAGGUGGGGUAACGGCUCACCUAGGCGACGCUCCCUAGCUGGUCUUAGAGGAUGACCAUCCACACUGGAACUGAGAAACGGUCCAGACUCCGACGGGAGGCAGCAGUGGGGAAUAUUGCACAAGGGGCGCAAGCCUGAUGCAGCCAUGCCGCGUGUAUUAAGAAGGCCUUCGGGUUGUAAAGUACUUUCAGCGAGGAGGCGUUACUCGCAGAAGAAGCACCGGCUAACUCCGGGCCAGCCGCCGCGGUAAUAC
rnacentral:rRNA from 1 species